UUGGAGGGCAAGUCUGGUGCCAGCAGCCGCGGUAAUUCCAGCUCCAAUAGCGUAUAUUAAAGUUGUUGCAGUUAAAAAGCUCGUAGUUGAAUUUCGGGAUCAAUUUAUCGGUCGUGCCUACGGUAUGAACUGGUACAAUUGGUUUCUCCCUUCUGACGAAGCAUGAUGUCAUUAAUUUGGUGUCGUGGGGAAUCAGGACUGUUACUUUGAAAAAAUUAGAGUGUUAAAAGCAAGCAUUAGCUUGAAUACAUUAGCAUGGAAUAAUGAAAUAGGACGUUUGAUCCUAUUUCGUUGGUUUCUAGGAUCGACGUAAUGAUUAAUAGGGAUAGUUGGGGGCAUUAGUAUUCAAUUGUCAGAGGUGAAAUUCUUGGAUUUAUUGAAGACUAACUACUGCGAAAGCAUUUGCCAAGGAUGUUUUCAUUAAUCAAGAACGAAAGUUAGGGGAUCGAAGACGAUCAGAUACCGUCGUAGUCUUAACCAUAAACUAUGCCGACUAGGGAUCGGAUGAUGUUAAUUUUUUAAUGACUCAUUCGGCGCCUUACGGGAAAC
rnacentral:rRNA from 1 species